GGGGGAUAUUGCGCAAUGGGGGCAACCCUGACGCAGCAACGCCGCGUGAAGGAUGAAGGUUUUCGGAUUGUAAACUUCUUUUAUUAAGGACGAAACUUGACGGUACUUAAUGAAUAAGCUCCGGCUAACUACGUGCCAGCAGCCGCGGUAAUACGUAGGGAGCAAGCGUUGUCCGGAUUUACUGGGUGUAAAGGGUGCGUAGGCGGCUUUGCAAGUCAGAUGUGAAAUCUAUGGGCUCAACCCAUAAACUGCAUUUGAAACUGUAGAGCUUGAGUGAAGUAGAGGCAGGCGGAAUUCCCCGUGUAGCGGUGAAAUGCGUAGAGAUGGGGAGGAACACCAGUGGCGAAGGCGGCCUGCUGGGCUUUAACUGACGCUGAGGCACGAAAGCGUGGGUAGCAAACAGGAUUAGAUACCCUGGUAGUCCACGCUGUAAACGAUGAUUACUAGGUGUGGGGGGUCUGACCCCUUCCGUGCCGGAGUUAACACAAUAAGUAAUCCACCUGGGGAGUACGGCCGCAAGGUUGAAACUCAAAGGAAUUGACGGGGGCCCGCACAAGCAGUGGAGUAUGUGGUUUAAUUCGAAGCAACGCGAAGAACCUUACCAGGUCUUGACAUUCAACUAACGAAGUAGAGAUACAUUAGGUGCCCUUCGGGGAAAGUUGAGACAGGUGGUGCAUGGUUGUCGUCAGCUCGUGUCGUGAGAUGUUGGGUUAAGUCCCGCAACGAGCGCAACCCUUGCUAUUAAUUGCUACGCAAGAGCACUCUAAUAGGACUGCCGUUGACAAAACGGAGGAAGGUGGGGACGACGUCAAAUCAUCAUGCCCCUUAUGACCUGAGCUACACACGUACUACAAUGGAUGUUAACAGAGGGAAGCAAGACAGCGAUGUGGAGCAAACCCCUAAAAACAUUCUCAGUUCAGAUUGCAGGCUGCAACCCGCCUGCAUGAAGAUGGAAUUGCUAGUAAUCGCGGAUCAGCAUGCCGCGGUGAAUACGUUCCCG
rnacentral:rRNA from 1 species